rnacentral:rRNA from 1 species
AGGUAAGCUACUAAGAGCGAAUGGUGGAUGCCUUGACUGGUAAAGGCGAUGAAGGACGUACUAGACUGCGAUAAGCUACGGGGAGCUGUCAAGAAGCUUUGAUCCGUAGAUUUCCGAAUGGGGCAACCCAAUGUAUAGAGAUAUACAUUACCUAUAUAGGAGCGAACGAGGGGAAUUGAAACAUCUUAGUACCCUCAGGAAAAGAAAUCAAUAGAGAUUGCGUCAGUAGCGGCGAGCGAAAGCGCAAGAGGGCAAACCCAGUGCUUGCACUGGGGGUUGUAGGACUGCAAUGUGCAAGAGGUAAGUUUAGCAGAACAUUCUGGAAAGUAUAACCAUAGAGGGUGAUAGUCCCGUAUGCGAAAAACAAACCUUAGCUAGCAGUAUCCUGAGUAGGGCGGGACACGAGGAAUCCUGUCUGAAUCCGGGUCGACCACGAUCCAACCCUAAAUACUAAUACCAGAUCGAUAGUGCACAAGUACCGUGAGGGAAAGGUGAAAAGAACUGAGGUGAUCAGAGUGAAAUAGAACCUGAAACCAUUUGCUUACAAUCAUUCAGAGCCCUAUGUAGCAAUACAGGGUGAUGGACUGCCUUUUGCAUAAUGAGCCUGCGAGUUGUGGUGUCUGGCAAGGUUAAGCAAACGCGAAGCCGUAGCGAAAGCGAGUCUGAAUAGGGCGCUUAGUCAGAUGCUGCAGACCCGAAACGAAGUGAUCUAUCCAUGAGCAAGUUGAAGCUAGUGUAAGAACUAGUGGAGGACUGAACCCAUAGGCGUUGAAAAGCCCCGGGAUGACUUGUGGAUAGGGGUGAAAGGCCAAUCAAACUUCGUGAUAGCUGGUUCUCUCCGAAAUA